ACCGAGUUUACAACUCCCAAACCCCUGUGAACAUACCAAUUGUUGCCUCGGCGGAUCAGCCCGCUCCCGGUAAAACGGGACGGCCCGCCAGAGGACCCCUAAACUCUGUUUCUAUAUGUAACUUCUGAGUAAAACCAUAAAUAAAUCAAAACUUUCAACAACGGAUCUCUUGGUUCUGGCAUCGAUGAAGAACGCAGCAAAAUGCGAUAAGUAAUGUGAAUUGCAGAAUUCAGUGAAUCAUCGAAUCUUUGAACGCACAUUGCGCCCGCCAGUAUUCUGGCGGGCAUGCCUGUUCGAGCGUCAUUUCAACCCUCAAGCCCAGCUUUGGUGUUGGGACUUCGCGAGUCAAAUCGCGUUCCCCAAAUUGAUUGGCGGUCACGUCGAGCUUCCAUAGCGUAGUAGUAAAACCCUCGUUACUGGUAAUCGUCGCGGCCACGCCGUUAAACCCCAACUUCUGAAUGUUGACCUCG
rnacentral:rRNA from 1 species